UCUACCUAGUAUAAAAAAGACAAGCUCAAAUAUUAACUAAUAAGCCUACGAGUUAAUCGUAACCCCAUCACUAACCAGUGAUGGACUUUGGUAUCUGUCACAAAUCCAACAUACCAGAAUUUGAUAGCACUCACAUUUCAACCGUAAUAGAACUGAUAGCACUCACUCUCUUAAGAAGCUCCACUACAUAUGAGGCAAACGAUCCAAAUGUGUCAAAGUAAAAAGGAUGAAACUAUGUUGGUUAGCCCUACAGGCUCUAUCAUGUUUCUCCACUUUUGUUGUUGUUGUAUUGCUAGUUGCUAGCAGUGGCGGAGCCAGGAAUUUGACCAAGGGGGGUAUAAGUUUAAAUCCAUGAAUAAAUCUUAUAUACACAGAGUUGCAAGUUGCACCCCCACAAAAGUUUUGCUGCAUAUCUCUGAUUAAGAACAGUCUGACCAUGGAGCAUUUGAUCCAUGACAAAAUAACUUCAAAGAACAUCAGAAUGACUUCAAAGUUUAAAAGUUUAAACCAUGGACUUACUAACAAACUUUGUUAAUACUAUCACUGACAAAGAGGGUAAUUUUGCUCUUGUAAGGGUCCAAAGUACUUUCACUUAAGACAGUCAAACAAUUG
rnacentral:lncRNA from 1 species